CCUACGGGUGGCAGCAGUGGGGAAUAUUGCACAAUGGGGGAAACCCUGAUGCAGCGACGCCGCGUGAGUGAAGAAGUAUCUCGGUAUGUAAAGCUCUAUCAGCAGGGAAGAAAAUGACGGUACCUGACUAAGAAGCCCCGGCUAACUACGUGCCAGCAGCCGCGGUAAUACGUAUGGUGCAAGCGUUAUCCGGAUUUACUGGGUGUAAAGGGAGCGCAGGCGGUACGGCAAGUCUGAUGUGAAAGGCGGGGGCUCAACCCCUGGACUGCAUUGGAAACUGUUAGUCUUGAGUGCCGGAGAGGUAAGCGGAAUUCCUAGUGUAGCGGUGAAAUGCGUAGAUAUUAGGAGGAACACCAGUGGCGAAGGCGGCUUACUGGACGGUAACUGACGUUGAGGCUCGAAAGCGUGGGGAGCAAACAGGAUU
rnacentral:rRNA from 1 species